rnacentral:tRNA from 1 species
GUCAGAAUGGCUGAGCGGUCUAAGGCGCCAGACUCAAGGUUGUGCACCUUCUCCAAAACAGAGAGAUUUCUGGUCUCCGAAUGGAGGCGUGGGUUCAAAUCCCACUUCUGACA